AUUACUGGGCGUAAAGAGCUCGUAGGUGGUUUGUCGCGUUGUUCGUGAAAUCUCACGGCUUAACUGUGAGCGUGCGGGCGAUACGGGCAGACUUGAGUACUACAGGGGAGACUGGAAUUCCUGGUGUAGCGGUGGAAUGCGCAGAUAUCAGGAGGAACACCGGUGGCGAAGGCGGGUCUCUGGGCAGUAACUGACGCUGAGGAGCGAAAGCGUGGGGAGCGAACAGGAUUAGAUACCCUGGUAGUCCACGCCGUAAACGGUGGGUACUAGGUGUGGGUUUCCUUCCUUGGGAUCCGUGCCGUAGCUAACGCAUUAAGUACCCCGCCUGGGGAGUACGGCCGCGAGGCUAAAACUCAAAGAAAUUGACGGGGGCCCGCACAAGCGGCGGAGCAUGUGGAUUAAUUCGAUGCAACGCGAAGAACCUUACCUGGGUUUGACAUGCACAGGACGCCGGCAGAGAUGUCGGUUCCCUUGUGGCCUGUGUGCAGGUGGUGCAUGGCUGUCGUCAGCUCGUGUCGUGAGAUGUUGGGUUAAGUCCCGCAACGAGCGCAACCCUUGUCUCAUGUUGCCGGCGGGUAAUGCCGGGGACUCGUGAGAGACUGCCGGGGUCAACUCGGAGGAGGGUGGGGAUGACGUCAAGUCAUCAUGCCCCUUAUGUCCAGGGCUUCACACAUGCUACAAUGGCCGGUACAAAGGGCUGCGAUGCCGCGAGGUUAAGCGAAUCCUUUUAAAGCCGGUCUCAGUUCGGAUCGGGGUCUGCAACUCGACCCCGUGAAGUCGGAGUCGCU
rnacentral:rRNA from 1 species